rnacentral:rRNA from 1 species
CAAUACUCCCGCCGGCGACCGGCGCACGGGUGAGUAACACGUAUGAAACCUGCCCGUAGCAGGGGGAUAAGCGGAAGAAAUUCCGUCUAAUACCGCGUAACAACCCGGGGAGGCAUCUCCUCGGGUUUAAAGGAAGCGAUUCCGGCUACGGAUGGUCAUGCGUCGCAUUAGCUAGUUGGCGGGGUAACGGCCCACCAAGGCGACGAUGCGUAGGGGUUCUGAGAGGAAGGUCCCCCACACUGGUACUGAGACACGGACCAGACUCCUACGGGAGGCAGCAG